rnacentral:rRNA from 1 species
GAGGGGGGGCUACACAUGCAGUGUAGCGGUACAGAAAGUAGCUUGCUACUUUGCUGACAGAGCGGCUGGACGGGUGAGUAAUGCUUGGGAACAUGCCUUGACGGUCGGGGGACAACAGUUGGAAACGACUGCUAAUACCGCAUAAUGUCUACGGACCAAAUGGGGGCUUCGGCUCUCGCCUUUAAUUGGUCCCAAUGUGGAGAUUAGCUACGCUUGGUGAGUGUAAUGGCUCACCAAGGGCGAUCGAUCCCUAGCCUGGUUUUGAGAUGGAUGACUCAGCCAUCACUGGGUACUGAGACAUCGGCCCAGACUCCUACGGGAGGCAGCAGUGGGGAAUAUUGCACAAUGGGCGCAAGCCAUGAUGCAGCCAUGCCGCGUGUGUGAAGAAGGCCUUCGGGUUGUAAAGCACUUUCAGUCAGGAGGAAAGGUUAGUAGUUAUAUACCUGCUAGCUGUUGACGUUACUGACAGAAGAAGCACCGGCUAACUCCGUGCCAGCAGCCGCGGUAAUACGGAGGGUGCGAGCGUUAAUCGGAAUUACUGGGCGUAAAGCGUACGCAGGCGGUUUGUUAAGCGAGAUGUGAAAGCCCCCGGGCUCAACCUGGGAACUGGCAUUUCGAACUGGCAAACUAGAGUGUGAUAGAGGUGGUAGAAUUUCAGGUGUACCGGUGAAAUGCGUAGGAGAUCCUUGAAGGAAUACCGAUGGCGAAGCCAGCCACCUUGGGUCAAACAACUUGACGCUCAUGUACGAAAGCGUUGGGGAGCAAACGGGAUUAGAUACCCCGGUAGUCCACGCCGUAAACGAUGUCUACUAGAAGCUCGGAGCCUCGGUUCUGUUUUUCAAAGCUAACGCAUUAAGUAGACCGCCUGGGGAGUACGGCCGCAAGGUUAAAACUCAAAUGAAUUGACGGGGGCCCGCACAAGCGGUGGAGCAUGUGGUUUAAUUCGAUGCAACGCGAAGAACCUUACCUACACUUGACAUACAGAGAACUUACCAGAUGAUGGUUUGGCCUUUCGGACUCUAUACAGUC